rnacentral:rRNA from 1 species
UGGCGGACGGGUGAGUAAUGUCUGGGAAACUGCCUGAUGGAGGGGGAGUAACUACUGGAAACGGUAGCUAAUACCGCAUAAUGUCGCAAGACCAAAGAGGGGGACCUUCGGGCCUCUUGCCAUCGGAUGUGCCCAGAUGGGAUUAGCUAGUAGGUGGGGUAACGGCUCACCUAGGCGACGAUCCCUAGCUGGUCUGAGAGGAUGACCAGCCACACUGGAACUGAGACACGGUCCAGACUCCUACGGGAGGCAGCAUG